ACACUCCUACGGGAGGCAGCAGUGGGGAAUUUUGGACAAUGGGCGAAAGCCUGAUCCAGCAAUGCCGCGUGAGUGAAGAAGGCCUUCGGGUUGUAAAGCUCUUUUGUCAGGGAAGAAACGGUGAGAGCUAAUAUCUUUUGCUAAUGACGGUACCUGAAGAAUAAGCACCGGCUAACUACGUGCCAGCAGCCGCGGUAAUACGUAGGGUGCAAGCGUUAAUCGGAAUUACUGGGCGUAAAGCGUGCGCAGGCGGUUUUGUAAGUCUGAUGUGAAAUCCCCGGGCUCAACCUGGGAAUCGCAUUGGAGACUGCAAGGCUAGAAUCUGGCAGAGGGGGGUAGAAUUCCACGUGUAGCAGUGAAAUGCGUAGAUAUGUGGAGGAACACCGAUGGCGAAGGCAGCCCCCUGGGUCAAGAUUGACGCUCAUGCACGAAAGCGUGGGGAGCAAACAGGAUUAGAAACCCCGGUAGUCC
rnacentral:rRNA from 1 species